GGAGAUAAGAGAUUCAUACUACUCGGGGCACGUUAGCUUGUGUAUUGGGCCUCCAUGAUGGGCAGGAAGUGGGUAUGGGAAAGGCCCCUCUAAUGGAACUCCGUCACAUACACAUAGGCCAUAACCUUGUCUAGGAUGCCCUUCUAAAACAACUUAUUAUUUUAUUUCGUCUAAUUUUGCUCUUAAAAGACACAAAACAAGACAUGGACGAUCCUGACCAGGGUAGAUAUCCACCUUGAUCUCAUGCCAAUUUGGGUUGCAUGUCAUUGUGAAGAAGUGUCUAGCUUGUCAUACCUUCGCUCCAUGGCCAUAAUAUCCAUGUAGCGACGCCUCCGUUCCCAUGGACGACCCAUAAAUGACAUAGCCAACAUUGUAAGCUUUCUAACUGCGUUUGUCCCCCUCACUAGCAUGCAGGUUGUCCACCAAGCCUUGGUACAAGUGUGCCCUUAUCAUAUCUUGAUGAACCCAUAUAAAGUCAAAUCGCAAGUUCUUGAUCUUGAAAUACGUGUCAAUCGCUAAUUGCUAGAGAAGAAGACGCUUCCAUAGAUAAUAGGGUCGAAUAUCCUAGGGCGCAUCUGGAAUAUGUAGCAAUAGUAGUCCCGCACGGACACACAUAGUCUACCUCUAGAAGAUACAGAGAUAAUUAAAAAUGAGCUGUGUUGAAAACAAGAUAUCUUAUCGCAAAGCAUGGAAUGCACAUGUCAUAACUAAUUUGGAUACUAACCUACACUACUAUCUUUGUUUCAACCAAACACUGAAUGAGAGGACUGGUCAUUAUCACGAUGAGCUAGAUGAGUUGCACGAGACAUCGCAUCAUAGGGAACACCUUCCUUCGGGAUAUCCGUAUGCCACCCAAGUUUGCCUUUAGGGAAGAAUAGAGGGUAGGACAAUGCAUGAUAGUCUCCAUGAGAGGACUAUAUUCUACCAUGAUGUCGAGGAGGCGGUGAUUUGAGCGUGCGCUACCAGGGAAGUUGUACAAAUCAGCCACCGACAACCAAAUGGUCUUGGCAGAAGGACAAUUGAUAAUGAGCUGGAUCGGGGACCCCUCAUCCUGGUCAUAGAGGUAGCAGUAGUCUUUGAAGAUCUCAGUUUGCCAUCGCCACAGGAUCACACCUCUAAAUAAGGAGAAUGGGCUCAAUAUAAAAGGUCUCACACUCAAUUGAUCCAGGUCUGAACAUCCCCACCAAACAAAGAAGAGAGAAAAUAAUAAAUUAAUUCAAAAUAUUCAUGCUUUGCUACUAAUAAAAAUAGUAUAAUGUGUUUUGCGCCGAAAACAUUUAGGACCCAUUAGCGUUCUGCUCUACAUAUGCGAAUGAGAUAACUACGGAGUAAAAAUGGACAUCUUUUACCAUGUUUUACUGUACUUAUGAGACAUGACAGUAGUACAAGCGAAAGAAACGUCAUCGUUGUCAUGCAGUACUAUAAUUCGUAGUUGUAUAACGUCCGCACAAUAGUCUAGAAUAUUGUUGGCCAUAAUUGGCUACUUCAUUUCUUGAUAAAUCCAUGUUGUUUCGGGCACUACAAAAAAUCCAUAUAGGAGUAUGUAUUACCACUGGGCGUAGCAGCAACAUCAAGCAAUUUCCCCUUAAACGUAGUCAAUAUGUAUGGAAGUGUACUUGCCAAUAAGAAUGGAGUAUUUUGUGGCCAUAAAAAUUCAUGUCAAUAAAGUUUACAGAACCAGGCUUGGCGAUUUUACAAGUGGAUAUUCAAAGUCGUUCCCUAUCAUUCACAAAUUUCUAUCAUCACCCGCUUUCUCGCCAUUAAUUUACAUUCCUCGAAGAUACACCUUACAUCAAUAUGAGGAGUCACACGAGGUUGCUCGCGUUUUACUAUAGGCCAUGAUGUUAACAAGAGCAAUAUUGUAACAAAAAAUUACAAUAUGUCAAUCUUACUGUGCCUUGUCUUUUAUUUAGAAGGCUUACCUCAGCCCUCAAGGCACUGAGGAACAUUGGUUCGUCAUGAGAAAUUCACGCUAAAUUUUUUGAAGUCGGAAUUGUGUGGGAACAUUUACUACCGCGUUCUAACACCAGUGCAAGCGAAAGACUUUGUAUGUUCAAGCGAAAGACUUUGUAUCUCCGUUGAACGGAGAAAGUGGGAUAACACUUUCACCCAAUUUUGAUGUAUUGUCUUUACCGAGCCUAGUUCGGAUACCACGUUGAAUCCCUCUUCAAGAGUAUUGACCAUAUACAUGUUGUCAUCUUGUAACUCAUUUGGGCAGCCGCAUCUGUAGGAUUAACCAAAUGUGCCCGCCAUAAACAAUGUGGCAGCUUCACUAAAAGUCGUGGCAUCUCGUAUCAAUACACAAAGCCGGG
rnacentral:lncRNA from 1 species